AUAUCAUACUUUGCCAGGCUAAGAAUUUCUUUUGUGCUGCAUUGGAAUACUCAAAGUUUGGAUCUAUAAAAGGUAGCCACUUUGCAAAAAUGAAAAUCCAUCCUCAAUUGAUGUAAUAAUCUCUGACUUCAUGCUUCUAAGAAUAAAAGAGUGUUUCUCACACUACACAAAUCAUCAGCAUUUGGAUUGUAAAUAAUGUAGUGUGAGAGCUCCAUAAGUACAUGAUCUUGCUGCAGUAAAGUAAUUAUUAUAAUUAAUUUUAUUAUUAUUGAAAAAAAAUUAGUUAU